UACGAAGGGGGCUAGCGUUGCUCGGAAUUACUGGGCGUAAAGGGCGCGUAGGCGGCACUGUUAGUCAGGCGUGAAAGUCCUGGGCUCAACCUGGGAACUGCGCUUGAUACGGCAGAGCUAGAGGAUGGAAGAGGGUCGCGGAAUUCCCAGUGUAGAGGUGAAAUUCGUAGAUAUUGGGAAGAACACCGGUGGCGAAGGCGGCGCCUGGUCCAUUACUGACGCUGAGGCGCGACAGCGUGGGGAGCGAACAGG
rnacentral:rRNA from 1 species